CCUACGGGUGGCAGCAGUGGGGAAUAUUGGGCAAUGGGCGCAAGCCUGAUCCAGCAAAGCCGCGUGAAGGAAGAAGGCUCUCGGGUUGUAAACCUCUUUGACAGGGGAAGAGCAGAAGACGGUACCCUGAAAACAAGCCACGGCUAACUACGUGCCCGCAGCCGCGGUAAUACGCAGGUGGCAAGCGUUGUCCGGAUUUACUGGGUGUAAAGGGCGUGUAGCCGGGAAGGCAAGUCAGAUGUGAAAUCCGGAGGCUCAACCUCCGAAUUGCAUUUGAAACUGUUUUGCUUGAGUACGGGAGAGGCAGACGGAAUGCGUGGUGUAGCGGUGAAAUGCGUAGAUAUAAGGAGGAACUCCGAUGGCGAAGGCGGUCUGCUGGACAGCAACUGACGGUGAGGCGCGAAAGCGUGGGGAGCGAACAGGAUUAGAUACCCCAGUAGUC
rnacentral:rRNA from 1 species